GUGGUGACACUCUAUACCGUGAUCAGAAAGGCAGCUCGUCCAGAGUGAGGCUCUGCCAUCGCACAAGGGGUUGUGCUGAUCGCUGCGAAUUCCCCAAAUGUGGGACUCUCGAC
rnacentral:snRNA from 1 species